UACGUAGGGUGCAAGCGUUAAUCGGAAUUACUGGGCGUAAAGCGUGCGCAGGCGGUUUUGUAAGUCUGAUGUGAAAUCCCCGGGCUCAACCUGGGAAUUGCAUUGGAGACUGCAAGGCUAGAAUCUGGCAGAGGGGGGUAGAAUUCCACGUGUAGCAGUGAAAUGCGUAGAGAUGUGGAGGAAUACCGAUGGCGAAGGCAGCCCCCUGGGUCAAGAUUGACGCUCAUGCACGAAAGCGUGGGGAGCAAACAGG
rnacentral:rRNA from 1 species